CUGGGAUCAGCACUAUAUCCUUCAGCACUGCGACAUGAACAUGCAAAGGUUUACAGUGAAGAAUGACUCAUAAUCCCCGCGAAGAAAAGGGGGAUCGAAUCAAGCGCAGACCAAGGCCUUUUGGUGUCAAUUCGCCUCACGACGGUUGAUUUUUUUGUCUUUAUCACUGAUUUCUACUCACUGUGUCACGGCGCGCAGUCGAACCCACGUUUCCUCGGUAGCUAGAGCUGCCGGCACCUCCACUGGCAGCGCGCUCAGACACGCCCCUGCUCGUGCUGAGCGCAGCACGCCCACACAGCAACAAGCCUGCAGACAAUCACUAAUCUGCGCACCUGGACCUGAUGAGAGGGAGUGGCAUAAAGACCAGUGGACCCGAGGAACCUUUGCCAGAAUGUCACUCAUCUUUCCAUGACUUCCCUGUCAUCCGUGAUCGUGUUUUGCCUCUUGACAUUCAUCCGGAUUCCUGACUGCCUUCCUCGAUCCCCUGCUCGGACACAGCCUACGCUUCCUCGCUCCUACCCUCGACCCCUUGCCUGUUUACGGACUGUCUCCCGACUCCUAGGAUGUUCAUAUAUUCCCAUUUAGAUGAAACAUUUCUCAUAAUACUCGAGAAGAAAUGGGAUGGAAUACUUAUGUACAUGUGAUUAUGUUUUUUAUUUCUAAUAA